rnacentral:lncRNA from 1 species
GUGGAAGUUGGUGGAGAAGGAAAGAGCUAGAGAGAGCGAGAGAGCGAGAGCGAGAGAGAGAGAGAGAGAGAGAGAAGGGUUUGUACUGUUGCAGAGGUAAAAGCGAAAGGCAAAGAGAGCCGCAGUCGCCUCCUCCUCCGCCGCCGUCGCCGUCGCCGCAGCAGCAGCAGCAGCCCGUACAGCAGCAGCAGCAGCAGCCACAGCGGCAUCUUCAUGGCGCUCCACACCAAUCGAUUCUUUGACUACCUAAAUGUUGUUGAGUCUAAGCGAGCUGUCAUGAGAUAUGGCAUCCUGGUCAGGAGCUCUGCUUCUGACUAACAACGUUUGCCUUAUUUUCAUUUUUAGUUUUUUUCCUCUAGCACUGCUCCCUUAGGGCUUUUUUUUUUUGUAUUAUUGUACCCCCCCUUUUUUUCCUUUACAAGUAGUAGUAAGUAGUAAGGAUAAUUAAAAAAAAAAAAAAAAUAAUCAUAUAAAAAUCUGCCAAAAAAAAAAAAAAACAACCCCGCCGCAAAAAAACCCCCAAAAAAACAAGCCCAAAUAAACCCCCUAUAUAUAUAUAUAUAAUCAAAAACAGGGGGAAAAAGGAAAAAUUACAUCCCUUGUAAAGCUGCUAAACCCCUAAAACAACAACAACAACAACAAAACCCUACGAUCUCAUCAUCGGUAUUGAUUGGAAAAAAAAAAAAAAAAAGCAAAAUUAACCAAACACCACCACCACCAACAACAACAACAACAAAAAUAAAAGCUGAUUUCAUUCCAAGAUGUCUCAUAGUCAGAAGGAGGAGCAGUACGUCGGACCAUACCGGUUGGAGAAGACAUUAGGCAAAGGUCAAACAGGUAAGUGGAAACCAGGAGUGAUUUGAGCAAAGGAUGCUGGAAAAAAAAAA